AGUGAACGCUGGCGGUAGGCCUAACACAUGCAAGUCGAACGGCAGCACAGUAAGAGCUUGCUCUUACGGGUGGCGAGUGGCGGACGGGUGAGGAAUACAUCGGAAUCUACUUUUUCGUGGGGGAUAACGUAGGGAAACUUACGCUAAUACCGCAUACGACCUACGGGUGAAAGCAGGGGAUCUUCGUACCUUGCGCGAUUGAAUGAGCCGAUGUCGGAUUAGCUAGUUGGCGGGUUAAAGGCCCACCAAGGCGACGAUCCGUAGCUGGUCUGAGAGGAUGAUCAGCCACACUGGAACUGUGACACGGUCCAGACUACUAAGGGAGGCAGCAGUGGGGAAUAUUGGACAAUGGGAGCAAGCAUGAUCCAGCCAUACCGCGUGGGUGAAGAAGGCCUUCGGGUUGUAAAGACCUUUUGUUGGGAAAGAAAAGCAGCAGGUUAAUACCCCGCUGUUCUGACGGUACCCAAAGAAUAAGCACCGGCUAACUUCGUG
rnacentral:rRNA from 1 species